rnacentral:tRNA from 1 species
GGUUGUGGCUCAGUGGUAGAGUGCUUGCCUGGUGUGUACGAGGCACUGGGUUCAAUCCUCAGCACCA